AUUGAACGCUGGCGGCAGGCCUAACACAUGCAAGUCGAACGAGUGGCGGACGGGUGAGUAAUGUAUGGGGAACUGCCUGAUGGAGGGGGAUAACUACUGGAAACGGUGGCUAAUACCGCAUACCAUCAGAUGAACCCAUAUGGGAUUAGCUAGUUGGUGGGGUAACGGCGCACCAAGGCGACGAUCCCUAGCUGGUCUGAGAGGAUGACCAGCCACACUGGAACUGAGACACGGUCCAGACUCCUACGGGAGGCAGCAGUGGGGAAUAUUGCACAAUGGGCGCAAGCCUGAUGCAGCCAUGCCGCGUGUAUGAAGAAGGCCUUCGGGUUGUAAAGUACUUUCAGCGGGGAGGCGUUACCCGCAGAAGAAGCACCGGCUAACUCCGUGCCAGCAGCCGCGGUAAUAC
rnacentral:rRNA from 1 species